rnacentral:tRNA from 1 species
GACUCGGUGGCAGAACGGUAGCGCGUCUGACUCCAGAUCAGAAGGUUGCGUGUUCGAAUCACGUCCGGGUCA